UGGGGAAUAUUGGACAAUGGGGGCAACCCUGAUCCAGCCAUGCCGCGUGUGUGAUGAAGGCCUUAGGGUUGUAAAGCUCUUUCGCCGGUGAAGAUAAUGCCGGUAACCGGUAAAGAAGCACCGGCUAACUUUGUGCCAGCAGCCGCGGUAAAACGAAGGGGGCUAGCGUUGUUCGGAAUUACUGGGCGUAAAGCGUGCGUAGGCGGACUAUUAAGUCAGGUGUGAAAUCCCGGGGCUCAACCUCGGAAUUGCCUUUGAUACUGGUAGUCUAGAGUCCGUGAGAGGUGAGUGGAACUCCGAGUGUAGAGGUGAAAUUCGUAGAUAUUCGGAAGAACACCAGUGGCGAAGGCGGCUCACUGGCACGGUACUGACGCUGAGGUGCGAAAGCGUGGGGAGCAAACAGGAUUAGAUACCCCCGUAGUCC
rnacentral:rRNA from 1 species